UACGUAGGGGGCAAGCGUUGUCCGGAUUUAUUGGGCGUAAAGAGCGUGUAGGCGGCCAAACAGGUCAGCUGUGAAAACUCGAGGCUCAACCUCGAGACGUCGGUUGAAACCGUUUGGCUAGAGUCCGGAAGAGGAGAGUGGAAUUCCCGGUGUAGCGGUGAAAUGCGCAGAUAUCAGGAGGAACACCGGUGGCGAAGGCGGUUCUCUGGGCAUUACCUGACGCUGAGGAGCGAAAGUGUGGGGAGCGAACAGG
rnacentral:rRNA from 1 species